UGCGUAGGCGGAAGUGCAAGUCAGAUGUGAAAUCCCAGGGCUCAACCCUGGGGCUGCAUUUGAAACUCCAUUUCUUGAGGUUAGGCGGAGAAAACGGAAUUCCACAAGUAGCGGUGAAAUGCGUAGAUAUGUGGAAGAACACCCGUGGCGAAAGCGGUUUUCUAGCUUAAACCUGACGCUGAGGCACGAAGGCUGGGGGAGCGAACAGGAUUAGAUACCCUGGUAGUCC
rnacentral:rRNA from 1 species